UACGUAGGGAGCAAGCGUUAUCCGGAUUUACUGGGUGUAAAGGGGGCGCAGACGGCAAUGCAAGCCAGGAGUGAAAGCCCGGGGCUCAACCCCGGGACUGCUCUUGGAACUGCAUGGCUGGAGUACAGGAGGGGCAGGCGGAAUUCCUAGUGUAGCGGUGAAAUGCGUAGAUAUUAGGAGGAACACCAGUGGCGAAGGCGGCCGCCUGGCCUGUUACUGACGCUGAGGCACGAAAGCGUGGGGAGCAAAUAGG
rnacentral:rRNA from 1 species